UCUUCCUCUUACAGGCUACUGAUUCCAUCUGCUCUCUUUUUUUCAAUUUUAUUUUAUUUUUAAAAGGUGGCAUAGGUCAGGGAUUGCUUUGGAACAAAAAAACUGAUUCGACAGCCCACCAUGACUCAGUAACUGAUGGCGGAAGAUACUGGAUUUUAUCAUGGCAUUGAUGAAGAAGCUGCAUUCAAUAUGGAUUGGUCACAUCAUGGCCGAUACCCGAUUCGCUCAAUAAGGAGAGGAGGCUUGUAUAAUAAAGACCAGCAAGGAAUGCAACUUUUUUGUGCAGGAUUACUUGCCCCCACCCCACAUGGACAGGACAUGUUAAAGAGAGAAAAUAAAGUCAUGUCAUCCUAUACAAGGAUAA